CUGGGGAAUAUUGGACAAUGGGCGCAAGCCUGAUCCAGCCAUGCCGCGUGUGUGAAGAAGGUCUUCGGAUUGUAAAGCACUUUUAAGUUGGGGAGGAAGGGCAGUAAGCGAAUACCUUGGCUGUUUUGACGUUACCGACAGAAUAAGCACCGGCUAACUCUGUGCCACAAGCCCGCGGUAAUAA
rnacentral:rRNA from 1 species